rnacentral:rRNA from 1 species
GAUGAACGUUGGCGGCGUGCCUAAUACAUGCAAGUCGAGCGAACAGAUGAGGAGCUUGCUCCUCUGACGUUAGCGGCGGACGGGUGAGUAACACGUGGAUAACCUACCUAUAAGACUGGGAUAACUUCGGGAAACCGGAGCUAAUACCGGAUAAUAUAUUGAACCGCAUGGUUCAAUAGUGAAAGACGGUUUUGCUGUCACUUAUAGAUGGAUCCGCGCCGCAUUAGCUAGUUGGUAAGGUAACGGCUUACCAAGGCAACGAUGCGUAGCCGACCUGAGAGGGUGAUCGGCCACACUGGAACUGAAACACGGUCCAGACUCCUACGGGAGGCGGCAGUAGGGAAUCUUCCGCAAUGGGCGAAAGCCUGACGGAGCAACGCCGCGUGAGUGAUGAAGGUCUUCGGAUCGUAAAACUCUGUUAUUAGGGAAGAACAAAUGUGUAAGUAACUAUGCACGUCUUGACGGUACCUAAUCAGAAAGCCACGGCUAACUACGUGCCAGCAGCCGCGGUAAUACGUAGGGCGCGAGCGUUGUCCGGAAUUAUUGGGCGUAAAGGGCUUGUAGGCGGUUGGUCGCGUCUGCCGUGAAAUCCUCUGGCUUAACUGGGGGCGUGCGGUGGGUACGGGCUGACUUGAGUGCGGUAGGGGAGACUGGAACUCCUGGUGUAGCGGUGGAAUGCGCAGAUAUCAGGAAGAACACCGGUGGCGAAGGCGGGUCUCUGGGCCGUUACUGACGCUGAGGAGCGAAAGCGUGGGGAGCGAACAGGAUUAGAUACCCUGGUAGUCCACGCUGUAAACGUUGGGCACUAGGUGUGGGGGCCACCCGUGGUUUCUGCGCCGUAGCUAACGCUUUAAGUGCCCCGCCUGGGGAGUACGGCCGCAAGGCUAAAACUCAAAGGAAUUGACGGGGGCCCGCACAAGCGGCGGAGCAUGCGGAUUAAUUCGAUGCAACGCGAAGAACCUUACCAAGGCUUGACAUGCACGGCGGCACUGCAGAGAUGUGGUGGCAUUUAGUUGGUCGUGUGCAGGUGGUGCAUGGUUGUCGUCAGCUCGUGUCGUGAGAUGUUGGGUUAAGUCCCGCAACGAGCGCAACCCUUGCCCUAUGUUGCCAGCACGUGAUGGUGGGGACUCGUGGGGGACUGCCGGGGCUAACUCGGAGGAAGGUGGGGAUGACGUCAAAUCAUCAUGCCCCUUAUGUCUUGGGCUUCACGCAUGCUACAAUGGCUGGUACAGAGGGUUGCGAUACUGUGAGGUGGAGCGAAUCCCUUAAAGCCAGUCUCAGUUCGGAUUGGGGUCUGCAACUCGACCCCAUGAAGGUGGAGUCGCUAGUAAUCGCAGAUCAGCAACGCUGCGGUGAAUACGUUCUCGGGCCU